AUCCUUUUCCAGUUCAUAAGUGUGAUGAUUGGAUUCUCAUGUGUUUGUGCGACAUCUGCCUCCCUCUAAACCUUGUUACAAUGUGGCCACAUUACCUGUCUGACA